UUAUACGACCGUACCGCAAACCGACACUGGUGCGCGAGAUGAGUAUUCUAAGGCGCUUGAGAGAACUCAGGAGAAGGAACUCGGCAAAUUGACACCGUAACUUCGGAAGAAGGUGUGCCCUAUUAGUGUGUAGUGAACAACGAAGCAUGAAUGGGUUGCAAAAAAUCGGUGGCUGCGACUGUUUAUUAAAAAACACAGCACUCUGCAAACACGAAAGUGGACGUAUAGGGUGUGACGCCUGCCCGGUGCUGGAAGAUUAAAUGAUGGGGUGCAAGCUCUUGAUUGAAGUCCCAGUAAACGGCGGCCGUAACGAUAACGGUCCUAAGGUAGCGAAAUUCCUUGUCGGGUAAGUUCCGACCUGCACGAAUGGCGUAACGAUGGCCACACUGUCUCCUCCUGAGACUCAGCGAAGUUGAAAUGUUUGUGAUGAUGCAAUCUCCCCGCGGAAAGACGGAAAGACCCCAUGAACCUUUACUGUAGCUUUGUAUUGGACUUUGAACAGAUCUGUGUAGGAUAGGUGGGAGGCUUUGAAGCAGGGUCGCUAGAUCUUGUGGAGCCAACGUUGAAAUACCACCCUGGUGUGUUUGAGGUUCUAACCUAGGUCCAUUAUCUGGAUCGGGGACAGUGCAUGGUAGGCAGUUUGACUGGGGCGGUCUCCUCCCAAAGCGUAACGGAGGAGUUCGAAGGUACGCUAGUUACGGUCGGACAUCGUGACGAUAGUGCAAUGGCAUAAGCGUGCUUAACUGCGAGACUGACAAGUCGAGCAGAUGCGAAAGCAGGACAUAGUGAUCCGGUGGUUCUGUAUGGAAGGGCCAUCGCUCAACGGAUAAAAGGUACUCCGGGGAUAACAGGCUGAUACCGCCCAAGAGUUCAUAUCGACGGCGGUGUUUGGCACCUCGAUGUCGGCUCAUCUCAUCCUGGGGCUGUAGCCGGUCCCAAGGGUAUGGCUGUUCGCCAUUUAAAGAGGUACGUGAGCUGGGUUUAAAACGUCGUGAGACAGUUUGGUCCCUAUCUUCCGUGGGCGCUGCAGAUUUGAGGAAGCCUGCUCCUAGUACGAGAGGACCGGAGUGGACACACCUCUGGUGUAUCGGUUGUCACGCCAGUGGCAUUGCCGAGUAGCUAAGUGUGGAAGAGAUAACCGCUGAAAGCAUCUAAGCGGGAAACUCGUUUCAAGAUGAGAUCUGCCGGGGCCUUGAGCCCCCUAAAGAGUCGUUCAAGACCAGGACGUUGAUAGGUCAGGUGUGGAAGCCA
rnacentral:rRNA from 1 species